GAAUCGAUUUCUUCCUUAGUUUAUUGUUUCCUUCAACAUCUUUAGAAUUCAGUGCAGGGUACAGAUGAAUUUUCUGUUCAUUGAUUUAUUUUUACUUGAUUUAUGGCUUAUUCGUUGCUUGGCGAUUAUUAAUCUGUUUCUUUUCUGGAUCAAAAUCUGUGAAGUCAAUUUGUUUUACUGUGCAGUUUAUAUCUAGUAGAUUUGCGGUUUUCUUGCUCUUCUGGAUCUGAUUAACGAGCAGCAGAGACGAGAAUAUUAAACCUUCUUUUGUUUUUUGGGGAGAUCUUCAUGUCUUACAUUUAUUUUGAAGGAUUCGCUUCUGUGGGGAAGGUCUUAUCAAUGAAAGUUUGCCUAUUUUUUAAGAUGAAAAAUUCAGCCAGGCUGCCAACCAAUUGCCUUCCUCUUUUUACUAGAUAAAUUGGUCAGCACUAGAUAAAGCAACCCCCUCAUUUUUUUCAGUUUUUUAAAGAAUGGAUACAUACGCAAUUGUUUGAGGUUUAGUAUAACUGUCCGAGAAUGUAAAGAUCUAAAAUAGGGAAUUCAAACUUGUACCUCACAUUAAUGAAUCAGUAGAACAGUGAACAGAACCUGUGUUCUGCUUAGUAGGGGUUGCUCAGAGAGUUUUAGAAAAUUAUGCAGUGAAACAAUUCCAGCAGAAGCAUUGAGCAUCUCUCUGCUGCUGCUUUUAGUGUUCUAUAUGUCAAUUUACCAGUAAGUUAUAUUUACCCUGCAAAACAAUUGCAAUUUGUCAGAUCUCCAUCCUCAAAUUCAUGAGCAACAAUUGCAAACUUGUGGCUCCUGGAACCAGCUAGAAUAAGGUUUCCUAAAACAAGAUCUGCUCCUAAUUUCCCACGAACGAUUUUAAAAUUUGCAGUAGCUCAAUAAUUUUUUUUCCUUUGGGAGAUUACCUGCAAGAUUGCAGCAUCAAUCGAACCCCGAGGGCGGAUCCAACCAGAUUUGAACCUGGGUAAUGAACCCAGAGGUCAGAUUCCUAUCUCACACCCACUAGAUUGCAAGCGGUCCCCUCAGCCCGUGAGGGGGUUUACCCUGCUCAAUUGGACUGUUGGCUGAAAAUAGCUUUAAGUGCUGCCUAUGCUCUGGGUUUUUCUGAUAUUCAGCUACAAUUUUCAUAAUAUGGUGAUAAUCUUUAUAAAAAUGUAUUUGAAUGAGGUAAAUCUUCAAUUGGACCUAGGGUUUGUAGAUUAAUUGUUUGGAUUUUUUUUACCAUGGCGAUUUUAAUGGUUCUAUAUAUAUGCAUGCUUCAGAUUGUUUCUACUUUCUAGAGCUUGGGUUGGUUUUGAACAGGUGAUUCAGUGUAUUACAGUUCCUUACCGUUAGACCCAAUUUGUAGAUUACAGAUUCACAAAUAUGAUUUCCUAAAGUUUGAAUGUAUUGUAACUUAUAAGUUAAUCGAAUGAUACCUAGUUUUGUUUCUCUGAACAAGUGACCUACAAUAGUACAGAUUCUUGACGCAUAUUGGCAACCUUUAAAUGUAUUAGUUCCUUUUUCAUCUAGUUGUUAGGAAGCAAGAUCCUUUGGCUAGUAAAUUGUACAACACAGCAAAUUUAAGAUUUUCAUUUUCGAGAACAGGCCUUAGAUAAUGAUAGCACCCUUGAAAUUAUAGUUUUUUAGAUCUAUUAAUGUGUAUCAUUUCGUAAGCACCAUGGCCCAACAGGUGCACAAAGUCGCGAGCCUGAUCCAGUGGAGGCCUGAGCCUGGGUGGAUGUAAUAACAGUGCCACCUGUGACAAUUGCAUGAUGCCCUCAACAGUUGUAUUUUUCAAAUUUUAUUGCUUAUAUGGCAUGAGUUUAAGCUCAACUUAAAUUUUU